rnacentral:rRNA from 1 species
UCAGGAUGAACGCUGGCGGCGUGCCUAACACAUGCAAGUCGAACGGACCUAUCAUUAACAGAGACUCGGUGAAGUGGUUUAGGUUAGUGGCGGACGGGUGAGUAACGCGUGGAGAACCUGCCCUGUACUGGGGGAUAACAGUGAGAAAUCACUGCUAAUACCGCAUAAGCGCACGGAACCGCAUGGUUUUGUGUGAAAAACUCCGGUGGUACAGGAUGGCUCCGCGUUGGAUUAGCCAGUUGGCGGGGUAACGGCCCACCAAAGCUACGAUCCAUAGCCGGCCUGAGAGGGUGAACGGCCACAUUGGGACUGAGACACGGCCCAGACUCCUACGGGAGGCAGCAGUGGGGAAUAUUGCACAAUGGGGGGAACCCUGAUGCCAGCGACGCCGCGUGAAGGAAGAAGUAUCUCGGUAUGUAAACUUCUAUCAGCAGGGAAGAAAAUGACGGUACCUGACUAAGAAGCCCCGGCUAACUACGUGCCAGCCGCAGC